rnacentral:rRNA from 1 species
UACGAAGGGGCUAGCGUUGUUCGGAUUUACUGGGCGUAAAGCGCACGUAGGCGGAUCUUUAAGUCAGAGGUGAAAUCCCAAGGCUCAACCUUGGAACUGCCUUUGAUACUGGGGAUCUCGAGUCCGGGAGAGGUGAGUGGAACUGCGAGUGUAGAGGUGAAAUUCGUAGAUAAUUCGGAAGAACACCAGUGGCGAAGCGACUUACUGGACACAUAUUGACGCUGAGGUGCGAAAGCGUGGGGAGCAAACAGG